UACGGUUACCUUGUUACGACUUAGCGCCAAUCACCGAUUUUACCUUCGGCCUAUCUACAUAGGACUUCGGGUACCCCCGGCUUUCAUCGCUUGACGGGCGGUGUGUACAAGACCCGGGAACGUAUUCACGGGAGCGAGCUGAUCUCCCAUUACUAGCGAUUCCGGCUUCAUGGAGUCGAGUUGCAGACUCCAAUCCGAACUGAGGACGGCUUUUUGAGAUUAGCUCCCCCUCGCGGGUUGGCAACCCUCUGUACCGUCCAUUGUAACACGUGUGUAGCCCAAGGCAUAAGGGCCGUACUGACUUGACGUCAUCUCCACCUUCCUCCCGGUUAUCCCGGGCAGUCCCCCAAGAGUGCGCACACCAUAAUCCGAAGAUUAAAAGUGUGGUAGCAACAUGGGGCAAUGGUUGCGCUCGUUGCGGGACUUAACCCAACAUCUCACGACACGAGCUGACGACAGCCAUGCAGCACCUGUGCAUCGUCCGGCCUAACCGACUCUCCCCUUUAAGAGAGAUACGACGAGCAUGUCAAGCCUUGGUGAGGUUCUUCGCGUAGCAUCGAAUUAAACCACAUGUUCCACCGCUUGUGCGGGUCCCCGUCAAUUCCUUUGAGUUUUAGCCUUGCGGCCGUAGUCCCCAGGUGGAGCACUUAAUGCGUUAGCUGCGGCACUGAUCCCGAAAGACCAACACCUAGUGCUCAU
rnacentral:rRNA from 1 species